rnacentral:rRNA from 1 species
CUUGCAUCAUUGUNAAAAUGANGCAGGAUCGACUAUGUCGAAUAAAAUUCUAGGUAGAAUUAUGAUAAUGACAUUGUCUGCCUAUGUGUCUUGACCAAAUUACGUGCCAGCAGUCGCGGUAAUACGUAGAAGACUAGUGUUAUUCAUGUUUAAUCGGUUUAAAGGGUACCUAGACGGUAAAUCAAGCCUAAAAUUAAAUGAAGGGACUAAUUUACUAGAGUUACUUAUGAGGGGGUAUUAAAGUACUGCUGGUGUAGAGAUGAAAUUCUGUCAUACCUCUUUUCAAUAGAAAAACAAUGGCACAGGUAUAGGCGAAAGCAUCCCCUUAUGUGAUAACUGACGUUGAGGGACGAAGGCUUUGUGUAGCGAACAGGAUUAGAUACCCCAGUAGUCAAAGCAGAAAAUGAUGAAUGUCAUAGAUUAGAUAAAUAAGUUUAUUCUAUAAAUGAAAGUGUAAGCAUUCCACCUCAAGAGUAAUUUGGCAACAUUGGAACUGAAAUCAUUAGACCGUUUCUGAAACCAGUAGUGAAGUAUGUUGUUUAAUUUGAUGAUCCGCAAAAAACCUUACCACAAUUUGAAUAUUUAUAUUUUUUUAUUGUUUUCUUUUUAAUUUUCUUCUGAUUUGAUUUUUCUAAAGAAAAAAAGAAAAAGAGGCGAUAUGAUAUAUUUACAAGCGUUGCACGGCUGUCUUCAGUUAAUGUCGCGAGACUUUGGUUAGUUCCAUUAAAUUAACGUAAACCCUUACUUUAUUUUUAUAUAGAGUAGUUCCCCGCUAUAUUGGA